UACGUAGGCAGCGAGCGUUGUUCGGAGUUACUGGGCGUAAAGCGUGCGUAGGCGGUUUUGUAAGUCUGGUGUGAAAUCUCCCGGCUCAACUGGGAGGGUGCGCCGGAAACUGCAAGGCUGGAGUAUGGGAGAGGUAGGCGGAAUUCCUGGUGUAGCGGUGAAAUGCGUAGAUAUCAGGAGGAACACCUGUGGUGUAGACGGCUUACUGGACCAUGACUGACGCUGAGGCACGAAAGCGUGGGGAGCAAACAGG
rnacentral:rRNA from 1 species